CGGGUGAGUAAUACAUCGGAACAUGUCAUUCGUGGGGGAUAGACCGGACGAAAGCCUGGAUUAAUACCGAUACGCCCCGAGGGGGAAAGCGGGGGACUUCAGCAAAGAGGACUCGCGCGAAUGGGUUGGACGAUGUCCGAUUAGCUAGUUGGUGGGGUAAAGGCUUACCAAGGCGAUGAUCGGUAGCUGGUCUGAGAGGAUGAUCAGAACACACUGGGACUGAGAGACGGACCAGACUCCUACGGGAGGCAGAAGUGGGGAAUUUAAGGACAAUGGGGGAAACACUGAUCCAGCCAUUCCGAGUGAGUGAAGAAGGACUUCAGGGUUAGUAAAGACUCAUAAUGUACGGAACGAAACGGUAUAGCGUGAAUAUCGCAUGACUACUGACAGGUAACGGAAGAAUAAGACACCGGAUAAACUAACAGUGACCAGAC
rnacentral:rRNA from 1 species